UGGGCAACCUGCCCUCAGCUCUGGGAUAACUCCAAGAAAUUGGGGCUAAUACCGGAUAUGACUGCUGACCGCAUGGUCUGGUGGUGGAAAGAUUUAUCGGCUGGGGAUGGGCCCGCGGCCUAUCAGCUUGUUGGUGGGGUAGUGGCCUACCAAGGCGACGACGGGUAGCCGGCCUGAGAGGGUGACCGGCCACACUGGGACUGAGACACGGCCCAGACUCCUACGGGA
rnacentral:rRNA from 1 species